GUCUUACCAACGUGUAACGGACAUAUUGCAACUUGCAGAAGACUGAAGACCAGGAAACACUGCUUUGACUCUAUGGAAGAGCAGACUUCUCCCGCUCAGCUAUCACUUCAUCCGGACUGCUGUUGAUGCCAGCCUGUAACCUCACUCAUCUUCACCCAUGCUUCAACUCAGUGAUUUAUCCUGGCCAAGCCCCUGAUGAACUACCUUGGCAGUAUUCUUGCUUCAUCAUCCAGUCAUUGGUGGGCCCAGCUGGCUGCAGAGAGAAAGCAACAACGGCUAGAAGAGAUCAGCCAUCGUUCUUAAGCCCGUGAGAAUCCCAUUAAUGAGUAUUAAUGGAUGUCUUGGAAUUCCGUGAUCCCCACAACAUAGAUCGGAUGUACAGCCUCUUAACCUGACUGGGUCUGAAAGAUUAGGUCUUACUGGAUUUACAGAUGGAUACAUUACAAACACAUUACAUUAGAUACUUAGUGGCUUUGGAGACUUGUGCAUGUUUGUAAACAGAGUUGAUCUCCAACAAAGUCGGUCACUGGCUUGGUCAUUGGGGGAUGAAAGUCAGUAGGUAAG